AUGGACAGUUGUCACCAAGGACCCUUAGGGACUCUGAUCCCGAUAUUUCUGCUGCGAGACAAACUCAGAGAGGCGUUUCCUCUCUGGAAGGGGGACAGGGGAAAAAAAAGAGAAAAAAAUGGAAAAGAAGAAAAAGAGAAAGGAAAAAGAAAGGGGAGAAGGGAAAAGGGGAAAAGAGAAAGGAAAAGGAGAAAGGAGAAAGGAAAAGGAGGAAAGGAAGGGGAAGAAAAAGGGGAAAGGGAAGGGAGAAGGGAAAGGAAAGAUGAAGAAGGAGAAGGAGAAGGAGAAGGAGAAGGAGAAGGAGAAGGAGAAGGAGAAGGAGAAGGAGAAGGAGAAGGAGAAGGAGAAGGAGAAGGAGAAGGAGAAGGAGAAGGAGAAGGAGAAGGAGAAGGAGAAGGAGAAGGAGAAGGAGAAGGAGAAGGAGAAGGAGAAGGAGAAGGAGAAGGAGAAGGAGAAGGAGAAGGAGAAGGAGAAGGAGAAGGAGAAGGAGAAGGAGAAGGAGAAGGAGAAGGAGAAGGAGAAGGAGAAGGAGAAGGAGAAGGAGAAGGAGAAGGAGAAGGAGAAGGAGAAGGAGAAGGAGAAGGAGAAGGAGAAGGAGAAGGAGAAGGAGUCACUCCACUGCCCAUUUCUCCCUCCCGAGCCCCCAGGGUUCUGUCCCCAUCACACCUGAGGGUUCUGUCCCCAUCACACCUGAGGGUUCUGUCCCCAUCACACCUGAGGGUUCUGUCCCCAUCACACCUGAGGGUUCUGUCCCCAUCACACCUGAGGGUUCUGUCCCCAUCACACCUGAGGGUUCUGUCCCCAUCACACCUGAGGGUUCUGUCUCCCUCACACCUGAGGGGUCCUGUCCCCCCCACACCUGAUCUAACCAGCCCCAAAUGAAGUUCCUGGGUCAAACCAGCCGUGCUGACCCAUUUGGCACCUCCAGGAGGUGCAAACACAGCCCCCCUUCCCUGCACCUGUCCUGGGGUCACCGAGGGGACACAGGCGCUGAAGGAGCUGAGCCAGAUCCUGCCCUGUGUUGCAAACACCCCCCGGGCAGGGCUCCCCCCUAAACCUCCCCAAUUUCAGGACCAACCUGAGCUGGGGCCAGCCCAGUGCCUCUCCCUGGGCUCUUCCUGGUGCAGGUUUCCUCCUCCUUUGCUUCUCUCCCUCAACUCCAGCUCCAAAAUGCUUCUUUGCCACGUCAGAGAGCUGCUGGGAGCGGUGUCACAGCCGGGACAGGAGGGCUGCAGGUAAAUAUUUCCAUUUCUGAGGAGCAGCAGCACCUCUGGGAUGAGCACAGAUCUCUGGAUCCUCGGCGUCCCGAGCUGGAACGGCUUCACACCGCUGGAAAUCACUCAGGAAUCUUAUCUCGAUAUCCCACAGGUAAAUCUAGUCCCCACCUUUCCCAGGCGAGCCAGAGCACAGCCCGGAUCCUCCCCCCCUCCUCUCCUGGAGCUGCACCGGGGCCACACCUGGGACAAAUCCCAGCAGGUCAGUCCCUGUGCCAGGGUCUGGAACUGCCAGGGAGAAGCUGCAUGGAGUUCUCUUGCUCUUUAACCAGGAAUAAAUGCUCGGCCAGCCCCUCAAAUACUGCCAGGGGCUCGAGCAGCUCAGGAUCCUGCAGAGAGGAGCAGUGCUGGAACUGGGGAUGCUUCAUCUUGCCCAGAGGUUCUG
ensembl:lncRNA